rnacentral:rRNA from 1 species
UACGUAGGUGGCAAGCGUUGUCCGGAAUUAUUGGGCGUAAAGCGCGCGCAGGCGGCUCAUUAAGUUGGGUGUUUAAGCCCGGGGCUCAACCCCGGUUCGCAUCCAAAACUGGUUGACUUGAGUGUAGGAGAGGAAAGUGGAAUUCCACGUGUAGCGGUGAAAUGCGUAGAGAUGUGGAGGAACACCAGUGGCGAAGGCGACUUUCUGGCCUAUAACUGACGCUGAGGCGCGAAAGCGUGGGGAGCAAACAGG